UACGUAGGGUGCGAGCGUUGUCCGGAAUUAUUGGGCGUAAAGAGCUCGUAGGCGGUCUGUCGCGUCGAUCGUGAAAACUUGGGGCUUAACCCUGAGCUUGCGGUCGAUACGGGCAUGACUGGAGUUCGGCAGGGGAGACUGGAAUUCCUGGUGUAGCGGUGAAAUGCGCAGAUAUCAGGAGGAACACCGGUGGCGAAGGCGGUUCUCUGGGCAUUACCUGACGCUGAGGCGCGAAAGCCAGGGGAGCAAACGGG
rnacentral:rRNA from 1 species